GGACUACCAGGGUAUCUAAUCCCGUUCGCUCCCCGCGCUUUCGCGUCUCAGCGUCAGUAACGGACCAGGGAGCCGCCUUCGCCACGGGUGUUCCUCCUGAUCUCUACGCAUUUCACCGCUACACCAGGAAUUCCACUCCCCUCUUCCGUCCUCAAGCCGUCCAGUCUCGAGCGGCAUCCCGGGGUUAAGCCCCGGGCUUUCACACCCGACUUAAACGGCCGCCUACACGCGCUUUACGCCCAGUAAAUCCGGACAACGCUCGCCCCCUACGUAUUACCGCGGCUGCUGGCAC
rnacentral:rRNA from 1 species